rnacentral:tRNA from 1 species
UGGCUCAGUUGGUAGAGCAUGGUGUUUGCAACGCCAGGGUUGUGGGAUCGAUUCCCAU